ACCUUCGGGCCUCUUGCCAUCAGAUGUGCCCAGAUGGGAUUAGCUUGUUGGUGAGGUAACGGCUCACCAAGGCGACGAUCCCUAGCUGGUCUGAGAGGAUGACCAGCCACACUGGAACUGAGACACGGUCCAGACUCCUACGGGAGGCAGCAGUGGGGAAUAUUGCACAAUGGGCGCAAGCCUGAUGCAGCCAUGCCGCGUGUAUGAAGAAGGCCUUCGGGUUGUAAAGUACUUUCAGCGGGGAGGAAGGUGUUGUGGUUAAUAACCGCAGCAAUUGACGUUACCCGCAGAAGAAGCACCGGCUAACUCCGUGCCAGCAGCCGCGGUAAUACGGAGGGUGCAAGCGUUAAUCGGAAUUACUGGGCGUAAAGCGCACGCAGGCGGUCUGUCAAGUCGGAUGUGAAAUCCCCGGGCUCAACCUGGGAACUGCAUUCGAAACUGGCAGGCUUGAGUCUUGUAGAGGGGGGUAGAAUUCCAGGUGUAGCGGUGAAAUGCGUAGAGAUCUGGAGGAAUACCGGUGGCGAAGGCGGCCCCCUGGACAAAGACUGACGCUCAGGUGCGAAAGCGUGGGGAGCAAACAGGAUUAGAUACCCUGGUAGUCCACGCCGUAAACGAUGUCUACUUGGAGGUUGUGCCCUUGAGGCGUGGCUUCCGGAGCUAACGCGUUAAGUAGACCGCCUGGGGAGUACGGCCGCAAGGUUAAAACUCAAAUGAAUUGACGGGGGCCCGCACAAGCGGUGGAGCAUGUGGUUUAAUUCGAUGCAACGCGAAGAACCUUACCUGGUCUUGACAUCCACAGAACAUUCCAGAGAUGGAUUGGUGCCUUCGGGAACUGUGAGACAGGUGCUGCAUGGCUGUCGUCAGCUCGUGUUGUGAAAUGUUGGGUUAAGUCCCGCAACGAGCGCAACCCUUAUCCUUUGUUGCCAGCGGUCCGGCCGGGAACUCAAAGGAGACUGCCAGUGAUAAACUGGAGGAAGGUGGGGAUGACGUCAAGUCAUCAUGGCCCUUACGACCAGGGCUACACACGUGCUACAAUGGCGCAUACAAAGAGAAGCGACCUCGCGAGAGCAAGCGGACCUCAUAAAGUGCGUCGUAGUCCGGAUUGGAGUCUGCAACUCGACUCCAUGAAGUCGGAAUCGCUAGUAAUCGUGGAUCAGAAUGCCACGGUGAAUACGUUCCCGGGCCUUGUACACACCGCCCGUCACACCAUGGGAGUGGGUUGCAAAAGAAGUAGGUAGCUUAACCUUCGGGAGGGCGCUUACCACUUUGUGAUUCAUGACUGGGGUGAAGUCGUAACAAGGUAACCGUAGGGGAACCUGCGGUUGGAUCACCUCCUUACCUUAAAGAA
rnacentral:rRNA from 1 species